AUCAGAACCUGUAAUAUCCCUCGCUUUUAAAAAUUAUUAAUAAAGAUUUAUAUGUAAAUUGGAGGACCUAUAUGUAAAUAUAGAAAUUACAAGGACUAAACUGCUAAGUUGCAAAAAAGAAAAAAAAAAGGGAAAACCGAAAAUUCGGUAUUAUCCCACCGCCUCCCACGCACUCUGUUUCUUCCGGAAACAGAGAGAGCGGUGGGGCGUGAGGACAAGAAGGAGAGUGGUAGAAGAAGAGGAGGUGGCUGCAGCGAGGGCUGCAGCGAGAAGCUGUGGGGCGUGGGGAGAAGAAGAGAGGAAGAAGAGGGAGAAGAGAAGAAGAAGAAGAAGAAGAAGAGAAGAGGAUAGCUGCGGCAAGGCUGCAGCGAGGAGGUGUGUGGGGUUGGGGAGGAAAAGGGAAGAGGAGAAGAAGAGGGAAAAGAGAGGGAAGAGGGAGAGGAGCGAGAGGUGGCAGCAGCUAGGGCUGCAGCACCUCUGUUUCCUGCAGGUGGAAACAGAGGAGAGGUGUGGGGCGUUCGAAGAGGAGAAGAAGAAGAAGAGGAAGAGAAGAGGAAGAGGAAGCAGGGGAAGAGGUUGUGAUACCUCUGUUUCCUGCAGACGAAACAGAGGAGAGGGUGUGGGUGACGUCGGGGAGAAGAAGGGGAGGAAGGAGAAGAAGAGAAGAAGAAGAAAGGAAGGAAAAGGAAGAGGAGAAGGGAAGAAAGUAGCUGCGGCUGCGGUUGUGGCAGCUGCAGCUGUGGCAGGGAAAGAAGAAGAGAAAGGAAGAAGGGAAGGAGAGGAAGAAGAGAAGGGGCUGCGGCUGCGGCGAUGGCAGCUGCAGUUGGAAGAGAAGAAGGAGAGGAAGAUGAGCAGGGGAGGAAGAAAAGGCUGUGGCCGUGGCUGAGGCUGCGACUGCAGCAUGCAGCUGGGAAAGAAGAGAAGGAAAGGAAGAAGAAGAGAAAGGAAGAAGGGAAGGAGAGGAAGAAGAGAAGGGGCUACGGCUGCGGCGAUGGCAGCUGCAGUUGGAAGAGAAGAAGGAGAGGAAGAUGAGCAGGGGAGGAAGAAGAGGCUGCGAGUGUGGUGGCUGCGGCCGUGGCUGCGACUCCGGCUGCGGCUGCGACGUUGGCUGCGGUAGCUGCGGCAGCGGUGGUGGCUGCAGUAGCUGCAGUAGCUGCUUUUGGGAAAGAGAAAGAGUAGGAACGAGAGAAGGGAAGAAGGAAAUAGUGCAGUGGAAGGGGGCUGCGGUUGUGACCGCAGUUGCGGUCGUGGCUGCGAUUGUGGCAGCGGCAGCGACGGCGGCUGUGGCAGCUGUGUUUGGGAAAGAAAAAGAAGGAAUGAGAGUAAGAGAGAGCAGGUGACUGUGCCUCGAUGUUCGACACGUGAUGUAGUUACGAAGAAAGGAAGAAAACGGGGGCACAAAACGAAACAGAGAGAGGACACGGAGGAAAAGUAGAAAGAUUGGACUGGCACCUUCUUUGGAUCUUCGGAUCGAAAUCUUUGAAAGGUCAGCUUGUCACUCUUCGGGAUGUUUGAUUUGGGCUGAGGCAGUGGAUAGCUAUUCAGAAUAAUGGGCAAGUCUGGGUGGUUAUUAUGAUAUUGUUGUAUAAGUAUGUUUUGUAUGUAAUGAAAUGUUGUCGAUGAAUCGAAAUGGAUAUACUGUGUAAAUGUGUUAGAAGAUCUCUCUUAUUUGGAAUUUCGGAAUGUUAAGUCUAAUUUAUGACGAUAUGAACUUGUGGUGAAUAGUUGGAGUUCUGAUUGUAUAAUUUAUUUAGCUUGUGGAUUUAUAAAUGUUGUUCAUGUUUGUCAAGUUGGCUUGGGUUGCCAUAAAUGUGAAUUAUCGAGUGAUGUGAUAUACGAUUUUAAAAUGCACAGGUUUUAUGGAUGUGAAUAUGAAUAGAAUGUUUUUUCAGUGUCCUCAAACGUUAGUUUGGAUCCUGGAUUGGCCUGUGAUGAUUGUUUUAAAAAAUCAUGGAUAUUUUGAGGGGCGUGACAGAGGUGGUAUCAGAGCAUUGUUUGAGGAUUACUGAAAUAUUUGAUAUGUUGACAUGCAAAAUAUAUUGAGGUCUAGUGAACUAUAGUGAUUGGUAGAAAUUUUCUUUGAUGUAUUUUAGGAAUCUGGGAUGAUGAGGACAUUUGGUCCUCCUAUUUCAAUUGUUUCUGAUUAAUUAAGAGGAAUGAAAGGAUUGAUUGGGGAUAUUAAAUCAGAGUGGCGCAGCAGAAGCAUGAUGAACCUAAUUUCAUUGGUGGUAGAAAAAUGGAUGAUGCAAAUGGAGAAGAUAGUUGAUAUACAAAAUUGUUCUAAUGAUCAAAAGAUUUCUUUUGCUACCUUAUAUUGGAAGUAGAGGCUGAUUAUUAUUGGCAACAAUGAAAAGAAUUUUUGGAGAUAUAUGGCAAGAAUGAUAAGGAUAAGUUAGCAAUAAAAAUAUGAUUGGAAAUGAAUCAGAAAGUAAUAACAAGAGGGUCAAGACCUUUGGAUUUGAAAUGGGAAGUCAUCACAAAAGACUCAAUCAUGGGUGAAUUAUAAGUUAAAUUAUUAAACAAAUUUGUGUUUCGGGUGACUGGAGUCUAUUUUGCUCGUGGAAAGUUGGAUCAUAAAAUAAAAGACUGCCCUUUGAACAAUAAGAAAGAGUCACUGCCUCAUAAAUCAUCAGCCCAUGUCAGAGUGUAUACUAUCACUGAAUAUGAUUAUGAAACUUCUGAAGUAGUGGUCGAAUGUAUUAUUCAGGUUUAUGAAAGAAUGCAAAUAUUUGUUUGACCAUGGGUCUCAUCUAUGAUUUGAUUCGGAAUAUUUUGCCUAUCACUUGGGUAUUCAACCUAGACCACUACAUUAUGUGCUAUAUGUAAAUACGAUCAUUAGAGAUUCUUUGAUAACGAACUUGAAUCUGGUCCUCUUGUCUGAUUUUUAUUGGAGAACUUGAACUUUUGCUGAUUUAGUUCUCCUAGAGAUUUGGAGUUAUGAUAUUAUACUUGGUAUGGAUUGGCUAUCUUCUUAUCAUACCAGUAUGGAUUGGUAUAUAACCAAUGAUCACUUUUUGUAUAUUUGAUCAGCCGAUCUUUUAUUUUGAGAGUAUUGGACAUUAUUUAUCUCCUUGCCUAAUGUAUCCCAGGAUGACUUGCUUGGAUUAUCUCCAAAUGUGAUCUUGCUUUUGAUUUGGUCCUUUGGACAAUCCCAAUAUCUAAGCCUCUCUACAGAAAGAUAUCAUUUGAGUAAGUGGAAUUGGAAAAGCAACUACAAGGAUUAUUAAAUGAGGAUUUUAUUUGGCUUAAUAUUUCAUCAUGGGGUGCUCCGGUGUUAGUUAAAAAGAUGUAUGGAACAUUGAGGCUUUGUAAUGAUUAUAGACAAUUGAAUCAGGUGACAAUCAAAAAAUGAGUAUUUCCUGAAGUAACGACUUGUUUGAUUAACUGUAGGGUGCGCAAGUAUUUUUAGAAAAAUUGCUUGAAGGUCGGGUUACCGUCUACUGAGGAUCAAGGAGGAGAAUAUUUCGGUCGCUCGUGGAUAAUUAUGUAAUUGUAUUGUAUUGAUGAAACUAUUUAAGAGUAGGAGGAGGAAAUAGAGAUAUCAUAAUCCUCAUCUUUUCAUCGAUUCAGCUAUGAUCAAUUUAGAGGACUAAAUUUUCUUUUAAGGGGGGGAGAGUGUAAUAUCCCUCGCUUUUAAAAAUUAUUAAUAAAGAUUUAUAUGUAAAUUGGAGGACCUAUAUGUAAAUAUAGAAAUUACAAGGACUAAACUGCUAAGUUGCAAAAAAGAAAAAAAAAAGGGAAAACCGAAAAUUCGGUAUUAUCCCACCGCCUCCCACGCACUCUGUUUCUUCCGGAAACAGAGAGAGCGGUGGGGCGUGAGGACAAGAAGGAGAGUGGUAGAAGAAGAGGAGGUGGCUGCAGCGAGGGCUGCAGCGAGAAGCUGUGGGGCGUGGGGAGAAGAAGAGAGGAAGAAGAGGGAGAAGAGAAGAAGAAGAAGAAGAAGAAGAGAAGAGGAUAGCUGCGGCAAGGCUGCAGCGAGGAGGUGUGUGGGGUUGGGGAGGAAAAGGGAAGAGGAGAAGAAGAGGGAAAAGAGAGGGAAGAGGGAGAGGAGCGAGAGGUGGCAGCAGCUAGGGCUGCAGCACCUCUGUUUCCUGCAGGUGGAAACAGAGGAGAGGUGUGGGGCGUUCGAAGAGGAGAAGAAGAAGAAGAGGAAGAGAAGAGGAAGAGGAAGCAGGGGAAGAGGUUGUGAUACCUCUGUUUCCUGCAGACGAAACAGAGGAGAGGGUGUGGGUGACGUCGGGGAGAAGAAGGGGAGGAAGGAGAAGAAGAGAAGAAGAAGAAAGGAAGGAAAAGGAAGAGGAGAAGGGAAGAAAGUAGCUGCGGCUGCGGUUGUGGCAGCUGCAGCUGUGGCAGGGAAAGAAGAAGAGAAAGGAAGAAGGGAAGGAGAGGAAGAAGAGAAGGGGCUGCGGCUGCGGCGAUGGCAGCUGCAGUUGGAAGAGAAGAAGGAGAGGAAGAUGAGCAGGGGAGGAAGAAAAGGCUGUGGCCGUGGCUGAGGCUGCGACUGCAGCAUGCAGCUGGGAAAGAAGAGAAGGAAAGGAAGAAGAAGAGAAAGGAAGAAGGGAAGGAGAGGAAGAAGAGAAGGGGCUACGGCUGCGGCGAUGGCAGCUGCAGUUGGAAGAGAAGAAGGAGAGGAAGAUGAGCAGGGGAGGAAGAAGAGGCUGCGAGUGUGGUGGCUGCGGCCGUGGCUGCGACUCCGGCUGCGGCUGCGACGUUGGCUGCGGUAGCUGCGGCAGCGGUGGUGGCUGCAGUAGCUGCAGUAGCUGCUUUUGGGAAAGAGAAAGAGUAGGAACGAGAGAAGGGAAGAAGGAAAUAGUGCAGUGGAAGGGGGCUGCGGUUGUGACCGCAGUUGCGGUCGUGGCUGCGAUUGUGGCAGCGGCAGCGACGGCGGCUGUGGCAGCUGUGUUUGGGAAAGAAAAAGAAGGAAUGAGAGUAAGAGAGAGCAGGUGACUGUGCCUCGAUGUUCGACACGUGAUGUAGUUACGAAGAAAGGAAGAAAACGGGGGCACAAAACGAAACAGAGAGAGGACACGGAGGAAAAGUAGAAAGAUUGGACUGGCACCUUCUUUGGAUCUUCGGAUCGAAAUCUUUGAAAGGCAAGUUUCCCGCUUGUUUCGAUCCUUUCUAUUGCAAGUUCCCUGUUCAUUUCUCCUAUAAUUGCUCUGAUAUGUCUUAUUGCAAGUUCCCUGAUCGUUUCUCCUAUAAUUGCUCUGAUAUGUCUUAUUGCAAGUAUCCUGAUCUUUCCUCACUGCCAAUUUUAUCUCCACAUUUGCUUUGAAUAUGAGGAACUUUGAAUUGUUCUAGCCUUGCAUUUGAUAUAUCUCCUGUUUAGACGUAACGAUUCGAAUCUGUGCAACUUCUGAGAUUCUGACCUUUUGAUACCGAGCUGCCUAUAAGUCUUUGUUGGAAACUCUGAUUUGUAUCAAACUGAUUUUAUUUGAAACUAGACUUGAAAUUCUCUCUUUUGACAUAUAGUUUGAAAAUUUUGGAGUUCAAUUGCCCACCCUAUCGUCUGUUGAUUCCGACCUUAUAAAUUCUGUAACACAGUGAUUGUGAUUUUGACCUUGUGUUACCAAAUCAGAGGUAACUCAGUGUUGGGAGCCCUGUUUCAUAUGAAAUCUGUUCCAUCUUAAUAUUGAUUGAUAUAUGAUUCGACCAUAGCCUUAUUAUGGGUAUUGGAGCAUAAUUGUUAUUCUAAAAUAUUUGUUUGAUGUGCCACUGGAAUUCUGUCCGAAAACGAGCUUUGGUCGAUUUCGCGUAUUUGGUUCCAUUCCUUUGGAUAUCUGAAUUUGUCUAACCUUCUUAUUGGAAUUGAGCUGAUUAUGAUUGCUUGGAAUCCCUGUACACUCUUGCUUUCAAUUCUUUCCUAAAAUGAAUACUUUUGUGAGAGAUUUGUUCCUUGCAUCAUUGUUUUGAAAAGGCACAUGUACGUUUGGUUGUUCCGCGUGUGCUUCCGUUAUAUGCUGCUUAUUGUUGAAACUGCCUUCUUGUACUCUGGUGUGUGGGAUAUUGUGAACCUUUGCCAGAAAUGGUAAAGGGAGUUGUGAACCUUUGCCAGAAAUGGUAAAGGGAGUUGUGAACCUUUGCCAGAAAUGGUAAAGGGAGUUGUGAACCUUUGCCAGAAAUGGUAAAGGGAGUUAUGCAUAGAGCCUGCGAUGCUCUGCCGGCCCCCUCUGACUUCACCUAGACGUGGGUGGAUGGAGCUCCCAGACGUGGGAGACUUUUGUCAGGUGGUCAUUCAGAAAUGGAUGAAUCACAUUCUGACUGAGAUCCCACUACACCCUCUAUAUGUUUGAUGUGACAUCCAGAGUUUUGGUGAGUUAUUUCUGUUCGUGCUCUGGAUAAGUAUGAUAUGAUUGCAACGUCAAGGACGACGUUUGAGCUUCUGUACGACAUAUGAGUUUGAUAUGCUCUGAAAUGCUUCAUUCACUAUUGAGUUUGCUUCGUAAUGUUCCAUAGAUCGUUGAUGUGUUCUGGAACAUUUUUUAUGCCAUUGAUAAGCUCCGAUAUGUUUCCUUUGUUACUGAUAUGCUCCAAUUACUCUGUGCUCCAUUUGCUAUGAACUGAUAUGUUCUGAAAUGUCCUAUCUGCCAUUGAUAUGCUCCAAUCACUUUGUGCUCCAUUUGCUAUGAACUGAUAUGUUCUGAAAUGUCCUAUCUGCCAUUGAUUUGUUCCAAUUACUCUGUGCUCCAUUUGCUAUGAACUGAUAUGUUCUGAAAUGUCCUAUCUGCCAUUGAUAUGUUCCAAUUACUCUAUGCCCCAUUCCUUAUGGAUCAAAUAUGUUUUGAAUGACAUGAUACGUAUGAUUUGGUAUCUAUUGAGAUGGUAUCCUUGAGAAUUCUUGUAUUCUGCCUUGCAUUAUGAUACCUUACUCGUUUGAAACCGUUCCUUUUGUUCUGAAUAUGCUUUGUCACUUGCUGAGCCGUUUUUGGCUCACUCCGUUGUUAUAUAAAUCUUUCAGGUCAGCUUGUCACUCUUCGGGAUGUUUGAUUUGGGCUGAGGCAGUGGAUAGCUAUUCAGAAUAAUGGGCAAGUCUGGGUGGUUAUUAUGAUAUUGUUGUAUAAGUAUGUUUUGUAUGUAAUGAAAUGUUGUCGAUGAAUCGAAAUGGAUAUACUGUGUAAAUGUGUUAGAAGAUCUCUCUUAUUUGGAAUUUCGGAAUGUUAAGUCUAAUUUAUGACGAUAUGAACUUGUGGUGAAUAGUUGGAGUUCUGAUUGUAUAAUUUAUUUAGCUUGUGGAUUUAUAAA